rnacentral:rRNA from 1 species
UUAAUAUAGUACUGUAGAGAUAUUUUAAAAAUUUGUUUCAUUUUUUUUUUCCUUUUGCAUAAUGAUUAAACAAAAUUUAAUUCAAAUGAUUAAACCCGAAAUUAGAGGAUCUAAUUUUUUUAAUAUAUUAGAAAAAAUAAUUAAAUGUUUCAUAAUUUUUAACAAAAUUAAAUUAGUGGUGAAAGGCUUAACAAAUCUAAUAAUAUCUGGAAUGAUUUUAAAUGUAUUUAGUACAGAACUAGUUUUGAAUAAAAUAAUGUUAAGAUUUUUUUAUUUGUAUAGGAUAUUUAUUUUAUUAUAAUUUAUAGACUAAACUUUUAAUAAAUGAUUAUCAUAUUAAUUUUAAAUAAUAUUAUCUAUAUAAUAUAAGGUCAUAUCCAUAAAAUUGUUUAUGAGAAUAAUUAUGUUUAAAUAAGUAUAAACAAUUAUCUUAAUUAAAGGAACUCGGCAAAUGUAUUAUUCAACUGUUUAUCAAACCUGCCCAGUGAGUAUUUUAACGGCCGCAGUACUUUGACUGUGCUAAGGUAGCAUAAUAAUUUGACUCUUAAUUGGGGCCUUGAAUGAAAGGAAUAAUGAAAUAAUUUCUGUCUUUACUUAACUAAUUAAAAAUUACUUAGAAGGUGAAAAUUCCUUUAAGUUAUAUUAUAGACGAGAAGACCCUAGGAGUUUAUAAUUUUGUUGGGGCGACAGUAUAGCAAAAUAAACCUAUAAAAAUUUAUUAAUAUAUAACGAAUAAAUUAUUUUAAUUAAAAAGAAACUACCCUAGGGAUAACAGCAUAAUUUAUUUAAUUAAGUUUGUGACCUCGAUGUUGGAUUAGGAACUUUCAAAGUUAAUAGCGUUGAUUGGUAGUUCUGUUCGA